GAUCCUGGCUCAGGAUGAACGCUAGCGGCAGGCUUAACACAUGCAAGUCGAGGGGCAGCGUGAGGGUUAGCAAUAACCCUUGACGGCGACCGGCGCAAGGGUGCGUAACGCGUGAGCAACUUGCCCUUAUCAGGGGGAUAACCGGUGGAAACGCCGACUAAUACCCCAUAGCAUCACAUUGAGGCAUCUUUUUGUGAUUAAAGAAUUUCGGAUAAGGAUAGGCUCGCGUGACAUUAGCUAGACGGCGGGGUAACGGCCCACCGUGGCUACGAUGUCUAGGGGUUCUGAGAGGAAGGUCCCCCACACUGGAACUGAGACACGGUCCAGACUCCUACGGGAGGCAGCAGUGAGGAAUAUUGGUCAAUGGUCUGACGACUGAACCAGCCAUGCCGCGUGAAGGUCACGGCCCUAUGGGUCUUAAACUUCUUUUGCGAGGGAGCAAUAAGGUCUACGUGUAGGCCGAUGAGAGUACCUCGCGAAUAAGCAUCGGCUAACUCCGUG
rnacentral:rRNA from 1 species